rnacentral:misc_RNA from 1 species
AAUAGCUACGACGUCGACGUGGGUAACACAAAACUAAUGCGCAAAUGUUAUGUAGAAGCUAAAUAACUUAACAAUGGCAAGUACAGGACCCGAGAGUCCAAUCAGGACUGAUGAGAUCAACGAUUUCUUCACCUACAUCGCCUCGGUAAGGACUCAAAUGACAAAGUUUUGACACAGCAGGGACUUGCUCAUGAUAUGAUGAUUAUUGAUUAAUAAAACAAUGUUUAUAAAAACAUCUUUUAAGUCUGGGAUUCGGGAGGAGCGUAACGUAUAAAGUCUUAAAAGGACAUUGUACAAUAACAAAUGAAGACAGUCGUUUGCAGAAACUAGGUGCUUCAUAAAUUUUUUAAACUUGUACAAUCUCUAUUAAAAUAUAUUAAUCCCCUUUGUCUAAAAUAAGAGGAAUUCAUUUGAUUGUUAGCUGAACCUGUCAAAUAACAUGAAUGCUUGUGUAAAUCAAAUUUAUAAUUAGAGAUUUUGAAACUCUCAGUGUGACUGAAUCUUCACAGUGAGGCAGCAUAGUUAGGUUAAUUAUAGCUUAGUACCCCGUUAUACAAAUAUGGUACCUAGGGUUUAUUUUGUGGAAUCGUAUUUUCCUCUUACAGAUUGAUUGGACAGAGAAAUGGCUAAUAGCCUUGGUUAUGUUCCAUUUUACUUGUUUCUUCUUGAUUAUUGUGACACGUAAAAGUGGAUUACUUCAGGCCAUCAUAUUUAUUACUUUGCGUAAGUACCUAUACAUGUAUUACCCUACAUAAGUAUGCGCCAUAAAAAGUUUAUUGAUCAGUUAAGUGCAUCAUUAGUUCAUAUAUUUUCUUAAUUUGAGUAAUUAAGGAAUGCAUACCAUAAAAACUUCUUUGACCAGUUUUAUGCAUCAUCAAAACAUAUAUUUUCUGAAUUUGAGUAAUUUAAAACCAAUGAAUAGUUCUACAGUAAAAAUUUCUAAAAAAAAAAAAACUAAUACAGCAAUCCAUCCCUUUAAAAUUACACAUUGGCUAUACUUGUAUCUUCAAAUAAGUUUUUUCCUUUACCUCAUCUUAUCUUUUUCAGUUUUGUCUGUGUAUUUCGCUGAAAACUUAAAUGAAUUGGCAGCUAAACAUUGGCAGGUGUUUACCAAGGAGCAAUAUUUUGACAGUGAUGGUUUGUUCUUUUCAACUGUAUAUUCCACUCCAGUGCUCUUCAACUGCUUAUUGUUGUUGUUUAUCUGGAUGUCUAAUUUGGGAGCAGCUGUUUCUGAAAUGAGGCAAAUGAAAAUGAAUGCCAGAAAAAAGGCAGAGGAAAGAAAGGAGAAGAAAGAAAACUAAUAAUAAAUCAACCAAAUACAUAAUAUUACACAAAAAGAUACUCAUUUUUGCAUGCUACCCAUGGAUUAAAUAUUAACUGCCUUUUUCGCUUAGUGGUAUAGAAUCUACAUUGUAAAUAAGGAGGCAAUCUCGGGUAGUAGGUCCUACAACCUCUUGGUUUGUGCCAUAAUAACCUUGUAGUUGAGUGCAAUAAAAUUUUAACGUCU